UGGGGAAUAUUGCACAAUGGAGGAAACUCUGAUGCAGCGAUGCCGCGUGAAGGAUGAAGUUCUUCGGAAUGUAAACUUCUAUCAGCAAGGAAGAAAAUGACAGUACUUGACUAAGCAGCCCCGGCUAACUACGUGCCAGCAGUCGCGGUAAUACGUAGGGGGCAAGCGUUAUCCGGAAUUACUGGGUGUAAAGGGUGCGCAGGCGGCACUAUAAGUCAGUGGUGAAACCCAUGAGUUCAACUCAUGAAUUGCCAUUGAAACUGUAGAGCUAGAGUACAGGAUAGGAAAGCGGAAUUACUAGUGUAGCGGUGAAAUGCGUAGAUAUUAGUAAGAACACCGGAGGCGAAGGCGGCUUUCUGGGACUGAAACUGACGCUCAGGCACGAAAGCGUGGGGAGCAAACAGGAUUAGAUACCCUGGUA
rnacentral:rRNA from 1 species